AUUGGAAGCAUCCCGUGGGGCUGCAUCGCACUGGGACUGGGGUGUCCUCACCGCUGGGACCCUGCUUGCACUGCAGCUCCUCAGCCUCCUCCUCCUCUCGAGGAAGGCUCAGCUUGCUGCCCCUUGCCUCAUCCAGAGCUCUUUAAAUUGCUUUUCUUAACACAUCAUCAAAAGAUACCUGCUUUUGCAAGCCAUUUUGGUUUAGAUUAGACAUCGUGAUCACCUUUGAGAAAGACACACAGAAGACUUCUGAGCAGAGUUGAUGGUUGUGGGAUUCUAGAGGUGGCCACCUGUGAGCUGAUGGAUAAAGUCAUCAAGGCAUGGGCCAUGUGAAUGCUGAGGGGUCAAGGAGGUGUCAAGAUCAUCCAAGACAGGAUGAAAUCCCUGUGGGUCAAGGUAUUUCCUGGGGACCAUGAAAACGUGAGCCUUUGGACCAACGCCCAGGAGAGCCCGGCUUGCUUGGCUCCUCCAUAGCAACAUACCUGGAGGCAGACGUCCCGGAGCAGAGACCGUCCGUCCAGAGUGGAGACGCCUGGUCCAGAGCAGGGACCCCAGCUUCAGAGCUGAGAUCCCAGAUCUGGAGGAGAGACCUUUGGUCUGGAGCAGGGACCCUAAAACCAAGCAGAGAUCCUGGAGCAGAGACCCCAAAACAUCCUCUUCCCC
rnacentral:lncRNA from 1 species